rnacentral:rRNA from 1 species
UACGACGGGGGCUAGCGUUGCUCGGAAUCACUGGGCGUAAAGCGCUCGUAGGCGGCUUUUUAAGUCAGAGGUGAAAUCCUGGAGCUCAACUCCAGAACUGCCUUUGAUACUGGAGAGCUUGAGUCCGGGAGAGGUGAGUGGAACUGCGAGUGUAGAGGUGAAAUUCGUAGAUAUUCGCAAGAACACCAGUGGCGAAGGCGGCUCACUGGCCCGGUACUGACGCUGAGGUGCGAAAGCGUGGGGAGCGAACAGG